rnacentral:rRNA from 1 species
UACGUAGGGGGCAAGCGUUGUCCGGAUUUAUUGGGCGUAAAGAGCUCGUAGGCGGCCUGUUGCGUCCGCUGUGAAAGCCCGGGGCUUAACCCCGGGUCGGCAGUGGAUACGGGCAGGCUAGAGGUAGGUAGGGGAGAAUGGAAUUCCCGGUGUAGCGGUGAAAUGCGCGGAUAUCGGGAGGAACACCGGUGGCGAAGGCGGUUCUCUGGGCCUUACCUGACGCUGAGGAGCGAAAGCGUGGGGAGCGAACAGG